rnacentral:ribozyme from 1 species
AACUCCAGCCUCUGCAUCGCACCGUCUACGCGGUGGUCGAUCUCCUGUUGUGCCCGCCACUACAUCCG